rnacentral:rRNA from 13 species
CUUGAGAGUUUGAUCCUGGCUCAGAACGAACGCUGGCGGCAGGCUUAACACAUGCAAGUCGAGCGGUAACAGGGGGUGCUUGCACCCCGCUGACGAGCGGCGGACGGGUGAGUAAUGCAUAGGAAACUGCCCAGUAGUGGGGGAUAGCCCGGGGAAACCCGGAUUAAUACCGCGUACGCCCUUCGGGGGAAAGCAGGGGAUCUUCGGACCUUGCGCUAUUGGAUGUGCCUAUGUCGGAUUAGCUAGUUGGUGGGGUAAAGGCCUACCAAGGCGACGAUCCAUAGCUGGUCUGAGAGGAUGAUCAGCCACACUGGGACUGAGACACGGCCCAGACUCCUACGGGAGGCAGCAGUGGGGAAUAUUGGACAAUGGGCGCAAGCCUGAUCCAGCCAUGCCGCGUGAGUGAUGAAGGCCCUAGGGUUGUAAAGCUCUUUCAGCGAGGAGGAUAAUGACGUUACUCGCAGAAGAAGCCCCGGCUAACUUCGUGCCAGCAGCCGCGGUAAUACGAAAGGUGCAAGCGUUAAUCGGAAUUACUGGGCGUAAAGC